GAUGAAGAACGCAGCGAAAUGCGAUACUUGGUGUGAAUUGCAGAAUCCCGUGAACCAUCGAGUCUUUGAACGCAAGUUGCGCCCGAAGCCAUCAGGUUGAGGGCACGUCUGCCUGGGCGUCACAUAUCGUUGCCCAAUGCCUAUUGCAGUGCAAUAGGAAUUUCUAGGGCGAAUGAUGGCUUCCCGUGAGCGUUGUUGCCUCGCGGUUGGUUGAAAAUCGAGUCCUUGGUAGGGUGUGCCAUGGUAGAUGGUGGUCGAGUUAGAACGAUACCGAUCAUGUGCAUGCUCCCCAAAAUAUGGCCUCUAUGACCCACACGCGUCUUUUGACGCUCAUGACGAGACCUCAGGUCAGGCGGGGCUACCCGCUGAAUUUAAGCAUAUCAAUACGCGGAGGA
rnacentral:misc_RNA from 1 species